ACUUUUAUUGUGUUCUUCAAGAGAAUCACUCAUUACUUAUUCCCACUGGCAUCUCAUUUUUCUAAAUAAAUGCUCCAGUAUGAAAAAUCUAGGAGUCAUAAAGUAUCUUGUCACACACAGAACCAGAGAUUUUACCACUGACAGGAUGGCUCCCCUAUGGCAUGAACACAUUUGAAUGUGCUUGCCCUUUGUCUUUGAUGGCAAAGAGGACAUGUGUAACCAAGGCCACUGACUUUGAUCCAAAACAUGAAGAACAGAAAAGAAGUUGGUUAUUCCCUCUGGAACCACCUUUUCAUAUAGCUAGCAGUGUGGAAUAUCCCAAUUCUAUUAAGGCAAGGCUAUUCUCUUAAGAGCCUAUCAUUCCACAGAAACCAUAGCAGCUUAGUCAAGAAGAGACCAGAACUACUGGUUCUAUAUUCUGCUCCAUUAAGCAAAGCACGACUGUAAUGAAACACUCAGCUGUAUAAUUUAUUCAGAGAAAAGAAUAUUAUGGUUAUAUUUAUCCAUUUCAAUCACAUUACAAUUAUAAUUAUCAGCCCCUUCCAAUGUGUAUAUUAGAAAAAUGUUUUUCAUAAAAUAUGUUUCAUGAAAUACUUCUCAUUCAUGCCUCUCCAGAUAUAGUAGUAGAUUGUUUAAAAAUCUGAGUAAAACAUAAAAGGUUCCUCAUGUUUAUUACUUUGUUUUGUAUUUAAUUGAAGCCAGAUGCUAAUCUCUCAGUAAUGCAAUAAAUAUGUGAAACUCUUUAUUAUUUGUACA
rnacentral:lncRNA from 1 species